UUCUGCUCUCUUGACUGCAGCUCGAGUGUUUUUAAACCAAUAAAUUACAUUAUUAACGUCCAAAGCCUUUCUUCCCUUACGGCACUCAAGGGAAUUUAAUUCCUUCACAAAUUCCUCAACCUUUAAAAUAGGAUGAUUAUUAGCUGCAAACCAUUUUUGAAGACGUGGUAUCUCUGUUUCUGGAUCAAAACAGACUCUCAUUCUUGGUUUAUUAGUGGUAAAAGUAUCCACGUGUCUAUUACUUAGAAAAUUAUUCCUCAUUGGCUGAAAAAAAUAUUAUUCAUACAAUAAAUUAAUAUUUGCCGUAAAUAUAGUUACCACUUCUUUCGUGCAACCAUGUAGAAAGUUAACACGUCUUGCCGUAUCUGCAUCAGAAAUAGGAUCACUUAUUACUCCUGAGUUAGAUACCAAAGAGUCAAAAUAAUUUUUCUGCCAACGAAGUAAAUCAUCUCGUGUUUUAAGUAUUCCUGGGUGAAUAUUAAAUCCAGGGGAUGGUGGAACCAUUGGACCAUAAUUUCCAAACAUUGAAGACAUAUUGUUAGAGUUAUUGUUGUCGUCAUUACUCGAAUUGUUGUGUGUUCCUUCAGGUCGAAAAGAUGUCAUUCCCAGGUCUAAUGGCUCCUAUAAAAUGGUCAAUACAUGUUCAAUAUUGUCACAAUGAUAUUUGUUAUAACUUACAAUGGACCGAAUUUGAGGGUUAUUCAAUGAUUUUUUUAAUCUCUCUGCUGCAUCUUUGUAGUAUUGCUCUAAUAUUAAUGACAUGAUCCUCUCACGAACCUCAUCAUUUCUACCAGAUACAUCCUCGUUUGCCAGUAAAUUAUGUGCCCUAUUUGGAAGUUUCUUCUUUUUGUAAUCUCUAAAGAAGGCAAGAACAAAAAAUGAGAUUAAUAGUAAGUUUAAUGCAAGUAUUUUCACUACUCUGAGCUCUAUUAAUAAGAACAUACAUACAAUAUUUGUUGAAUAAAAUCAAUUACCAUUUUAUUUUAUACAAUUAUAAUAUCUUUACAAAAGCAAUAAAUCUAUCACAAGGAA
rnacentral:lncRNA from 1 species